UACGUAGGGGCCUAGCGUUGUCCGGAUUUAUUGGGCGUAAAGAGCUCGUAGGCGGUUGGGUAAGUCGGGUGUGAAAACUCCGGGCUCAACUCGGAGACGCCACCCGAUACUGCUCUGACUUGAGUCCGGUAGGGGAGUGUGGAAUUCCCGGUGUAGCGGUGAAAAUGCGCAGAGAUCGGGAGGAACACCCGUAGCGAAGGCGGCACUCUGGAACGGUACUGACGCUGAGACGCGAAAAGCGUGGGG
rnacentral:rRNA from 1 species